rnacentral:rRNA from 1 species
UCCUACGGGAGGCAGCAGCAAGGAAUAUUGUGCAAUGGGCGAAAGCCUGACACAGCGACGCCGCGUGAGGGAUGAAGGCCUUCGGGUUGUAAACCUCUUUUCUCAGGGAAGAAAAAUGACGGUACCUGAGGAAUAAGUCUUGGCUAACUACGUGCCAGCAGCCGCGGUAAUACGUAGAAGGCAAGCGUUAUUCGGAUUUAUUGGGCGUAAAGAGGGCGUAGGCGGCUUUUCAAGUCGGAUGUAAAAUCUCCCGGCUCAACUGGGAGGGACCAUGCGAUACUGUUAGGCUAGAGGGCAGCAGAGGGAGGUGGAAUUCCCGGUGUAGUGGUGAAAUGCGUAGAUAUCGGGAGGAACACCAGUGGCGAAGGCGGCCUCCUGGGCUGUUUCUGACGCUGAGGCCCGUAAGCGUGGGGAGCAAACAGGAUUAGAUACCCCAGUAGUCCAAGCCG